rnacentral:rRNA from 1 species
AGAGUUUGAUUCUGGCUCAGAUUGAACGCUGGCGGCAGGCUUAACACAUGCAAGUCGAGCGGUAACAGGGGAAGCUUGCUUCCCGCUGACGAGCGGCGGACGGGUGAGUAAUGCUUAGGAAUCUGCCCAGUAGUGGGGGAUAGCCCGGGGAAACCCGGAUUAAUACCGCAUACGUCCUACGGGAGAAAGCAGGGGAUCUUCGGACCUUGCGCUAUUGGAUGAGCCUAAGUCGGAUUAGCUAGUUGGUGGGGUAAAGGCCUACCAAGGCGACGAUCCGUAGCUGGUCUGAGAGGAUGAUCAGCCACAUCGGGACUGAGACACGGCCCGAACUCCUACGGGAGGCAGCAGUGGGGAAUAUUGGACAAUGGGGGCAACCCUGAUCCAGCCAUGCCGCGUGUGUGAAGAAGGCUUUCGGGUUGUAAAGCACUUUCAGUAGGGAGGAAAACCUUAUGGCUAAUACCCAUGAGGCUUGACGUUACCUACACUAAGAAGCACCGGCUAACUCCGUGCCAGCAGCCGCGGUAAUACGGAGGGUGCAAGCGUUAAUCGGAAUUACUGGGCGUAAAGCGCGCGUAGGUGGUUUGGUAAGCGAGAUGUGAAAGCCCCGGGCUUAACCUGGGAACGGCAUUUCGAACUGUCAGACUAGAGUGUGGUAGAGGGUAGUGGAAUUUCCUGUGUAGCGGUGAAAUGCGUAGAUAUAGGAAGGAACACCAGUGGCGAAGGCGGCUACCUGGACCAACACUGACACUGAGGUGCGAAAGCGUGGGGAGCAAACAGGAUUAGAUACCCUGGUAGUCCACGCCGUAAACGAUGUCAACUAGCCGUUGGGACUCUUGAAGUCUUAGUGGCGCAGCUAACGCACUAAGUUGACCGCCUGGGGAGUACGGCCGCAAGGUUAAAACUCAAAUGAAUUGACGGGGGCCCGCACAAGCGGUGGAGCAUGUGGUUUAAUUCGACGCAACGCGAAGAACCCUUACCUGGCCUUGACAUCCAGAGAACUUUCCAGAGAUGGAUUGGUGCCUUCGGGAACUCUGAGACAGGUGCUGCAUGGCCGUCGUCAGCUCGUGUCGUGAGAUGUUGGGUUAGUCCGUACGAGCGCAACCCCUAUCCCUGGUUGCUAGCAGGUAAUGCUGAGAACUCCAGGGAGACUGCCGGUGACAAACCGGAGGAAGGUGGGGAUGACGUCAGGUCAUCAUGGCCCUUACGGCCAGGGCUACACACGUGCUACAAUGGCGCGUACAGAGGGCUGCCAACUCGCGAGAGUGAGCCAAUCCCUUAAAACGCGUCGUAGUCCGGAUCGGAGUCUGCAACUCGACUCCGUGAAGUCGGAAUCGCUAGUAAUCGCGAAUCAGAAUGUCGCGGUGAAUACGUUCCCGGGCCUUGUACACACCGCCCGUCACACCAUGGGAGUGGAUUGCACCAGAAGUAGUUAGUCUAACCUUCGGGAGGACGAUUACCACGGUGUGGUUCAUGACUGGGGUGAAGUCGUAACAAGGUAGCCGUAGGGGAACCUGCGGCUGGAUCACCUCCUUU